ACGCUCGACACCUACGGAGGCAGCAGUGGGGAAUAUUGCACAACGGGGGAAACCCUGAUGCAGCGACGCCGCGUGAGCGAAGAAGUAUUUCGGUAUGUAAAGCUCUAUCAGCAGGGAAGAAACUGACGGUACCUGACUAAGAAGCACCGGCUAAAUACGUGCUAGCAGCCGCGGUAAUCUGAGCGGGCUGGCAAGGC
rnacentral:rRNA from 1 species